AACGGAGGGAGCGAGCGUUAUUCGUAGUGAUUGGGCGUAAAGUGUACGUAGACGGUUCAAGUAAAGUUUUUGAUUAAAAUCCAUGGUACCACCGUGGUAUUUCAAUAAAUCUAGCUAUAACUAGAGUAAGAAAGAGGUCAGCAGUAUUUUGAGGUAACUGUAAUAGGUGUAGAUCUCCUGGAGACUCCAAAUGCGAAGGCAGCUCACCAUUUUUACUGACGUUGAGGUUACGAAGGCAUGGGGAUCAAAGUGG
rnacentral:rRNA from 1 species